UACGUAGGGGGCAAGCGUUGUCCGGAAUCAUUGGGCGUAAAGAGCGUGUAGGCGGCUCGAUAAGUCCGCUCUGAAAGCCCGGGGCUCAACCCCGGGAGGCGGGCGGAUACUGUCGAGCUAGAGUCCGGAAGAGGCGAGUGGAAUUCCUGGUGUAGCGGUGAAAUGCGCAGAUAUCGGGAAGAACACCCGUGGCGAAGGCGGCACUCUGGGACGGUACUGACGCUGAGACGCGAAAGCGUGGGGAGCAAACAGG
rnacentral:rRNA from 1 species